UAAGGCUGAGACACGACGUCGAGCUACUACGGUAGUGAAGUCAUUGAUGCCAUGCUUCCAGGAAAAGCCUCUAAGCUUCAGAUUUGAUGGAAUCGUACCCCAAACCGACACAGGUGGUCGGGUAGAGAAUACCAAGGCGCUUGAGAGAACUCGGGUGAAGGAACUAGGCAAAAUGGUACCGUAACUUCGGGAGAAGGUACGCUCUUGAUGGUGAAGUCCCUCGCGGAUGGAGCUGACGAGAGUCGCAGAUACCAGGUGGCUGCAACUGUUUAUUAAAAACACAGCACUGUGCAAAAUCGCAAGAUGACGUAUACGGUGUGACGCCUGCCCGGUGCCGGAAGGUUAAUUGAUGGGGUUAGCGUAAGCGAAGCUCUUGAUCGAAGCCCCGGUAAACGGCGGCCGUAACUAUAACGGUCCUAAGGUAGCGAAAUUCCUUGUCGGGUAAGUUCCGACCUGCACGAAUGGCGUAAUGAUGGCCACGCUGUCUCCACCCGAGACUCAGUGAAAUUGAAAUCGCUGUGAAGAUGCAGUGUACCCGCGGCUAGACGGAAAGACCCCGUGAACCUUUACUACAGCUUGGCACUGAACAUUGAACCUACAUGUGUAGGAUAGGUGGGAGGCUUUGAAGACGUGACGCCAGUUGCGUUGGAGCCGUCCUUGAAAUACCACCCUUGUAUGUUUGAUGUUCUAACGUUGGCCCCUCAUCGGGGUCGCGGACAGUGCCUGGUGGGUAGUUUGACUGGGGCGGUCUCCUCCCAAAGAGUAACGGAGGAGCACGAAGGUGGGCUAAUCACGGUUGGACAUCGUGAGGUUAGUGCAAUGGCAUAAGCCCGCUUAACUGCGAGAAUGACGGUUCGAGCAGGUGCGAAAGCAGGUCAUAGUGAUCCGGUGGUUCUGAAUGGAAGGGCCAUCGCUCAACGGAUAAAAGGUACUCCGGGGAUAACAGGCUGAUACCGCCCAAGAGUUCAUAUCGACGGCGGUGUUUGGCACCUCGAUGUCGGCUCAUCACAUCCUGGGGCUGAAGUCGGUCCCAAGGGUAUGGCUGUUCGCCAUUUAAAGUGGUACGCGAGCUGGGUUUAGAACGUCGUGAGACAGUUCGGUCCCUAUCUGCCGUGGGCGUUGGAAGAUUGAAGGGGGCUGCUCCUAGUACGAGAGGACCGGAGUGGACGAACCUCUGGUGUUCGGGUUGUGUCGCCAGACGCAUUGCCCGGUAGCUAAGUUCGGAAUCGAUAACCGCUGAAAGCAUCUAAGCGGGAAGCGAGCCCUGAGAUGAGUCUUCCCUGAC
rnacentral:rRNA from 1 species